rnacentral:sRNA from 1 species
GAAAAGACUUUGAAGGGGACAAGUAAGCGGUCCUGGCCUGGCAGAGAGCCGCCGGAAGGUGUAAGGCGGCAGGGCAGUGUUGCUGAACUCGCCCCGGAGUUUACCGGGAGAAAGUAAAGAAGAGCGUUGCCAGCAUAGAAAGCUUGGAAAGAUUAGUAAUCCGGUACGGUGGCGGCCGUUAUCCGCAUUGAGAGGGUAAAGCGCAUGGGGCUGUGGCGCAGAGGGAGCGCGCUUCCUUGGCAUGGAAGAGGCCGCGGGUUCGAUUCCCGCCAGCUCCACCAUUAUAGUCUUUACCAAUCAGGGUGGUAACGCGGGCAAAUAAAACCCGUCCCUUUA